GGAGUCUGGGCCGUGUCUCAGUCCCAAUGUGGCCGUCCGCCCUCUCAGGCCGGCUACUGAUCGUCGCUUUGGUGGGCCGUUACCCCGCCAACUGGCUAAUCAGACGCGGAUCCAUCUCUCACCGAUAAAUCUUUCCUCAGAGCAUCAUGCGGUGCUCUGAGCGUAUGCGGUAUUACCAGCCGUUUCCAGCUGCUAUCCCCCUGUGAGAGGCAGGUUGUCCACGCGUUACUCACCCGUCCGCCACUAAACUGUAAGAAUCACUCCGAAAAGAUCUCCAAACAGUCCCGUUCGACUUGCAUGUGUUAGGCACGCCGCCAGCGUUCAUC
rnacentral:rRNA from 1 species